rnacentral:rRNA from 1 species
GUGAUGAUCGGUGCUUGCACCGAGAUUCAACAUGGGAACGAGUGGCGGACGGGUGAGUAACACGUGGGUAACCUGCCCUUAAGUGGGGGAUAACAUUUGGAAACAGAUGCUAAUACCGCAUAGAUCCAAGAACCGCAUGGUUCUUGGCUGAAAGAUGGCGUAAGCUAUCGCUUUUGGAUGGACCCGCGGCGUAUUAGCUAGUUGGUGAGGUAAUGGCUCACCAAGGCGAUGAUACGUAGCCGAACUGAGAGGUUGAUCGGCCACAUUGGGACUGAGACACGGCCCAAACUCCUACGGGAGGCAGCAGUAGGGAAUCUUCCACAAUGGACGCAAGUCUGAUGGAGCAACGCCGCGUGAGUGAAGAAGGCUUUCGGGUCGUAAAACUCUGUUGUUGGAGAAGAAUGGUCGGCAGAGUAACUGUUGUCGGCGUGACGGUAUCCAACCAGAAAGCCACGGCUAACUACGUGCCAGCAGCCGCGGUAAUACGUAGGUGGCAAGCGUUAUCCGGAUUUAUUGGGCGUAAAGCGAGCGCAGGCGGUUUUUUAAGUCUGAUGUGAAAGCCCUCGGCUUAACCGAGGAAGCGCAUCGG